UGAAGAUGUAUAAGGUGGAGGUAUUAGAGAAAGUUCCCAUUAUGCAGCAUUUUCUCUUUGGAUGGCUCAUGAAAUGGAACUAGAUAGAAGAGCUCGGUGUUAAUUUACAAAGGAAUCUUCUCCGAUGAAUGUAGAAAUUUUGCUUCUUAUUACGAGCUUUCAACAUCUGGUUAUGAAGAAGAAAGCUCUUUUCCUCCCCUGGUUUGCUUCUAUUGUGGGCUUUCUUUUCUUGUUUCCAAAAUUAGGCCCAAUCAAGAA
rnacentral:misc_RNA from 1 species